AAGGGAGAGGAUUACGUGGGAAUUUACCCUCAGAACUGGAAUAGCGGCGGGAAACUGCCGGUAAUACCAGAUAAUGUCUGCGGACCAAAGGUGUGAAUCCGUCUGAGGAUGAGCCCACGUCCUAUUAGCUUGUUGGUGGGGUAAUGGCCUACCAAGGCAAUGAUGGGUAGCGGGUGUGAGAGCACGACCCGCCUCACUGGGACUGAGAACUGCCCAGACACCUACGGGUGGCUGCAGUCGAGAAUCUUCGGCAAUGAGCGCAAGCUUGACCGAGCGACGCCGCGUGCGGGAUGAAGGCCUUCGGGUUGUAAACCGCUGUCGUAGGGGAGCAAGAGAUGAGGGUACUCCCUCAAAUUUGAGCGAUCCUAGGAGGAAGGACGGGCUAAGUUCGUGCCAGCAGCCGCGGUAAGACGAACCGUCCAAACGUUAUUCGGUAUCACUGGGCUUAAAGAGUUCGUAGGCGGCUCCGUAGGUGAGGUGUGAAAUCCCUCGGCUCAACCGAGGAAUUGCGCUUCAAACCGUGGAGCUUGAGGGAGACAGGGGUAAGCGGAACAGAUGGUGGAGCGGUGAAAUGCGUUGA
rnacentral:rRNA from 1 species